rnacentral:tRNA from 2 species
GGUAGUUCAGUUGGUUAGAAUACCUGCCUGUCACGCAGGGGGUCGCGAGUUCGAGUCUCGUCCA